UUAGCGCGAUCAAUACGGUCUAGAUAGUCGAGAUGAUUCAGAUGACGGCGGGCCACUCCGUGCCAUUGACUACGGAUAGAACGUACGUACGUACGUAGCAGCGAGAUUUGUACCGGCGAUAAACGUGCGCCAAAGGCGAAUUCCUUCAGCGAUUCCUUCAAACGCUUCGCUCAAUGGAUCGUUACACGAGCGGCAUCAAAUUCGCGCGAUUAUUGAAUCUCAUGUAAUAUCACGCAUGCAUGAAGAUACGCGAAUUUCACAUGUAUACCUGGAUACGAGGACGAAAAAUCUCCGCGAGGAGGACUUCUCCUCACCUUCUCGAGAAGGGGGUGACCGCGCUCUUUUGACCGGCAGCAAACCGCACGAGGAUGUUUCCGUAAGGUAUUUGCAUACAAUCUGGAGACUGCGGCCGAUGGCGGUUCAGGAAUCCGCGGAAAGCGGCCGACCGGUUAGCUUCUCCGCCUGCCUUCCCUCCUCUUCAUCCGAUGCGACGCGUCGCGUUCCACCAGGUCGAGGGCGAAGGCCCCGCUUCGGAGGGUUCCCUUCCUUCCGGCUGCUUCUUCCGGUGUACCGGACGUGACGGUCCCCAAUCGGCGAGGACCAACCGGUGAAGCCGACAAGAUUUGUCUCUUGGACGCGCCUGCGCGAGAGAGAAAGAGUAUGCCGGAUUACGAAUGUGAAAACUACGUGGAGAACGGCGAAUCCGUCGCUUCGUCAGCAACGUCGGGCGAAAGGUGCCGCGCGGUCGAGAACCCAGCAAGUACUGCUGAGGCCAACAGGUGAGCCAUGCCAGCGGUUUACGGCCAGUGGCGUAUCACGCUGGUAUCCUGCCGAGGGCAACAGGUGUGACGACGCAGCGAGAUACCAGGAGCGUAACCUGCUGUUUCAUCUGUCAUGUUAUUUACACUGUUUAUCUCUCGUUCGUUAAUUUCCAAUCGAUUUGAUAACAGCGCGAGGAGAUAACGCUUGUAUGAAAGAUAUUACAUCACUUGAUCCACACCUGAGAGAUACAAACGUGCAGGUCCGAAUGUUGUUUAAGAGAAAAUCCGUGACAGUACGAAAUAUUGCAGAUAAAUCAAUUUAAUCUCAAUUAAACAAAUAAGUAUAAUCACAUUUAUUUAGUUAUAAUUAUAUUUGUGCACUCUGCGAGAUUGAACAAAUAUUAAUCCUUGCUACAGUGUCAUCUUUAAAUAAUUGUUCUACUUUGAAACUUUAAUUAAAGUUUAUUGUCUCGAUAUUAAAAAAGGUUAUAAGCAACUUUAUAAUCAUAAUCAAUAAACGGUUA